GAAAAAGAAACAAGAAGAGGGUGGGAGAGGAGAGCUAUUUUGCACUGGAUCAAUUCCAUUUCAAGAUGUUGACUAGAGAAGAGAAGUGCCCAUGAAAACCAGAGAGCAGCUGGACGCAGCACAGGGGCAGGAGGAAGGAAAGGAAAGCUCAGACAACAAGGAAGAACUAAGCUGUCCUGUUAGCAUGGACAAGAUGAGAGCAAUCUGCCUCAAGCCUUGGCAGAACCCAUCUCAAGCAUGAGUCACAAAUGGAUUUAAAGCUCACAGCUGCACAGGGAGCACUGAAUGCAGUGCGAAUGGUCACAGCACCUCCUGUGACAGGGACUCCGGAAAACAUGCACGUCCUGCUUGCCGUUGUAUGAAAUAAGACCCAUGGCAUCCAUACCAUAAAUGAUUAGCCACCCCUCAUUAGAUCUCAAGUUGCUGAGUUCAGAACUUUCACAUCCUAUUUUAUUUACAAGACACUUUAAAAUAGUAAAUAAAACUUGAUGCGUUCAGUUAAAAAAAAAAA